GAUGAACGCUGGCGGCGUGCCUAAUACAUGCAAGUCGAGCGAACAGAUGAGGAGCUUGCUCCUCUGACGUUAGCGGCGGACGGGUGAGUAACACGUGGAUAACCUACCUAUAAGACUGGGAUAACUUCGGGAAACCGGAGCUAAUACCGGAUAAUAUAUUGAACCGCAUGGUUCAAUAGUGAAAGACGGUUUUGCUGUCACUUAUAGAUGGAUCCGCGCCGCAUUAGCUAGUUGGUAAGGUCACGGCCUACCAAGGCAACGAUGCGUAGCCGACCUGAGAGGGUGAUCGGCCACACUAGAACUGAGACACGGUCCAUACUCCUACGGGAGGGAGCAGUAGGGAAUCUUCCGCAAUGGGCGAAAGCUUGACGGAGCAACGCCGCGUGAGUGAUGAAGGUCUUCGGAUCGUAAAACUCUGUUAUUAGUGAAGAACAAAUGUGUAAGUAACUAUGCACGUCUUGACGGUACCUAAUCAGAAAGCCACGGCUAACUACGUG
rnacentral:rRNA from 1 species